GACGAACGCUGGCGGCGUGCCUAAUACAUGCAAGUCGAACGCACUCUCGUUUAGAUUGACGGAGUUUGCUCCUGAUUGAUAAACAUUUGAGUGAGUGGCGGACGGGUGAGUAACACGUGGGUAACCUGCCCUAAAGUGGGGGAUAACAUUUGGAAACAGAUGCUAAUACCGCAUAAAACCUAACACCGCAUGGUGUAGGGUUGAAAGAUGGUUUCGGCUAUCACUUUAGGCUGGACCCGCGGUGCAUUAGUUAGUUGGUGAGGUAAAGGCUCACCAAGACGAGGAUCGGUAGCUGCGCGGAGAGGAGGGUCAGCCACACUGGAAAUGAGACACGGUCCAGACUCCGUAGGGAGGCAGAAGUGGGGAAUAUUGGACAAUGGGCGCAAGCCUGAUCCAGCCAUACCGCGUGGGUAAAGAAGGCCUUCGGGUUGUAAAGCCCUUUUGUUGGGAAAGAAAAGCAGCAGGUUAAUACCCCGCUGUUAUGACGGUACCCAAAGAGUAAGCACCGGCUAACUUCGUG
rnacentral:rRNA from 1 species